UUGAACCUGCGGAAGGAUCAUUA
rnacentral:rRNA from 1 species